rnacentral:lncRNA from 1 species
CGGAGGAUAUUGACCAACAAAUGGCUCAAAGUAACAAUGUUGGUUCGUCUUCUCGGUCACAUGAUCGAGAAAUGCAAGUUCAACGUGAGGAAAUUGUUCGUACUAUGUGGGAGGAUUAUAUUAAAGACUAGUACACUACAAUUUAUGUUCAAUUUUUUUUUAUUAAAUUAAAGUUAGAUUGAAACAAUUACUUAAGUGGAGAACAAAUAACUUUGUAAUAAUU